UACGUAGGGGGCAAGCGUUGUCCGGAUUUAUUGGGCGUAAAGAGCGUGUAGGCGGUUGGGUAGGUCCGUUGUGAAAACUCGAGGCUCAACCUCGAGACGCCGAUGGAAACCCCCCCAGCCUAGAGUCCGGAAGAGGAGAGUGGAAUUCCUGGUGUAGCGGUGAAAUGCGCAGAUAUCAGGAGGAACACCGAUGGCGAAGGCAGGUCUCUGGGCCGUAACUGACGCUGAGGAGCGAAAGCAUGGGGAGCGAACAGG
rnacentral:rRNA from 1 species